GGAAGGGAUACAGCGACCUCCACUGGGCAUGCGCACUCCAAUAGCGCAUUAUUUUCUCACGCUGAAACAGUUGAAUCAUAUGUUUUAUUAUUGUAAGGUUAGGGUUAGGCUCUCAUAGACGUCCAUUGGAAGAAUGGAAUGCGGAAGUUACUCGUGUCAUGGAGCGAGCAAUAGUUCCAAACACAGCACCAAAUGUCGCCCAAAUACACGAGCUCGCGCUGGACCUGGGCAUGCUCUCCAUCAACUUCUGGGCCAAAUCCUGACUGAUAGCAACCCAUUCUUUCAUAAUAACUUCUUGGAGUUUGUCAGAAUCAGUGGGUUUUUGUUUGUCCAUCCGCCUCUUGAGGAUUGACCACAAGUUCUCAAUGGGAUUAAGAUCUGGGGAGUUUCCAGGCCAUGGACCUAAAAUUUCGACAUUCUGGUCCCCGAGCCACUUAGUUAUCACUUUUGCCUUAUGGCACGGUGCUCCAUCGUGCUGCAAAAUGCAUCGUUCUUCACCAAACUGUUGUUGGAUUGUUGGAAGAAGUUGCUGCUUGAGGGUGUAUUCUUUAUUCAUGGCUGUGUUUUUGGGCAGAAUUGUGAGUACGCCCACUCCCUUGGAUGAGAAGCAACCCCACACAUGAAUGGUGUUAGGAUGCUUUACUGUUGGCCAUGGGCGUAAAUCUCAUUUAACAGUGGGGGGGGACAAUACAUAUAAAAUUUCUCAAUAGCAAUUUUUGGAGGGGACACAAAUAAUACAGUCAAAAUUGUACUUACUACGACACUAAGCGACAAUAUGCAUUAGGUUUAUAGGUUCAUCAUGCAGACUUGCAGUCAUAUUAUAACUGAACUGUGAACAAUAAAGGUUUUUCCAUUUAUA